rnacentral:lncRNA from 1 species
ACCAGGUGGAGAUAAUUGAAUCGUGGGGGUGGUUUCCCCCCAUACUGUUCACGUGAUAGUAAGUCUCAUGAGAUCUGAUGAUUUUAUAUUUCUUAACGGGAAAUGUGAACACUGAAAAAAGUAGUUCAAAUAUUUAAGGGCUGCAAUUUCUUUAUAGUAAUUCUAAGAAUGACCUUGACAAAGAGAAUUCAACAUGGCAGCCCCCAGGUUACUCAGGACAAAUGGACUUAACCCUUUUUAUACGGAGGGCCACCACAAAAAUGUAUCUGAGGUGGUGUAUACAAAGAAAGAACUGAAAAACCAGCAGUUUAUUUGAGAGAUGAUUCUAGAGGCAUCUAUAGGGAAGUUGAGGAUGGAAUGAAGAAGGGAAGGCAUUCAGAGAAGGGUGGAUUGUUGAGCACUUUUAUCUGUGGGCAACAGCUUCUGCCCCAUCUUCUCCAUCGAACACACUGUGAUUUUACUUUCACUAAGAUUUUUCUUCAGCUUAAUAAAAAACUAUUUGCUUAUAUCAAAAUGAAUCUUGUUUACAGUUGCCCUGUACUCAUCAAGACCUCGGGCUCUUCACUCUUUUCUUGGC